CUACGGGUCGCAGCAGUGGGGAAUAUUGGACAAUGGGGGAAACCCUGAUCCAGCAAUGCCGCGUGUGUGAAGAAGGCCUGCGGGUUGUAAAGCACUUUCGGUUGGGAGGACUGCUUCUAGCACUAAUAUUGUUGGAAGUUGACGUUACCUUCAGAAGAAGCACCGGCUAACUCCGUGCCAGCAGCCGCGGUAAUUCGGAGGGUGCAAGCGUUAAUCGGAAUUACUGGGCGUAAAGCGCGCGUAGGCGGCUAGAUCAGUCGGGUGUGAACGCCCCGGGCUUAACCUGGGAACUGCAUCCGAUACUGUCUAGCUUGAGUACAGGAGAGGAGAGUGGAAUUCCACAUGUAGCGGUGAAAUGCGUAGAUAUGUGGAGGAACACCAAUGGCGAAGGCAGCUCUCUGGCCUGAUACUGACGCUGAGGUGCGAAAGCGUGGGGAGCAAACAGGAUUAGAUACCCGCGUAGUC
rnacentral:rRNA from 1 species